rnacentral:rRNA from 1 species
ACGGAGGGGGCGAGCGUUAUUCGGAAUUAUUGGGCGUAAAGGGCGCGUAGGCGGCUUUAUAAGUCAAAGGUGAAAUCCCUCGGCUCAACUGAGGAACUGCCUUUGAAACUGUAAGGCUUGAGGCCGGGAGGGGGUAGCGGAAUUCCCAGUGUAGCGGUGAAAUGCGUAGAUAUUGGGAGGAACACCAGUGGCGAAGGCGGCUCACUGGACCGGUACUGACGCUGAGGCGCGAAAGCGUGGGGAGCAAACGGGA